rnacentral:rRNA from 1 species
GUUUACCUACGGGGGGCAGCAGUGGGGAAUAUUGGGCAAUGGGCGCAAGCCUGACCCAGCAACGCCGCGUGAAGGAAGAAGGCUUUCGGGUUGUAAACUUCUUUUGACAGGGAAGAGUAGAAGACGGUACCUGUCGAAUAAGCCACGGCUAACUACGUGCCAGCAGCCGCGGUAAUACGUAGGUGGCAAGCGUUGUCCGGAUUUACUGGGUGUAAAGGGCGUGUAGCCGGGUUGAAAAGUCAGAUGUGAAAUCCUGGGGCUUAAUCGCAGAACUGCAUUUGAAACUGUUGAUGUUGAGUAUUGGA